AUCGCAGGACACCAAUGACGAUAGUGCUGUCUGCGAUGCUAGUUUUCUCCAUACAGUCAAGGAGAAAACUAGCAUCGCAGACAGCACUAUCGUCAUUGGUGUUC
rnacentral:miRNA from 1 species